ensembl:lncRNA novel transcript, antisense to MTFR1L
ACUGUUGCAGAAGAUCUAUCCUUAAGAGGCAGAAACAUCUGCGGUGAGGAAGGCAGCUAUUGAAGGUAUUCCAGGAGCAUGAGACUGAGUUUGCAGAGCUGAGGGUUGUCAAUUUCCUUUUCUACUGAUAUCUUCUUCCUUUAGAGCAAACUUCCUCCUUAGGACCUCAGAGAUAAGCACAGCAGGGUCUUCCUCCUUCAAUAAACUCCGGUUCCUAGAGAC